rnacentral:rRNA from 1 species
UACGAAGGGGGCUAGCGUUGUUCGGAAUCACUGGGCGUAAAGGCGCGUAGGCGGCUUUAUAAGUCGGGGGUGAAAGCCUGUGGCUCAACCACAGAAUUGCCUUCGAUACUGUAGAGCUUGAGACCGGAAGAGGUAAGUGGAACUGCGAGUGUAGAGGUGAAAUUCGUAGAUAUUCGCAAGAACACCAGUGGCGAAGGCGGCUUACUGGUCCGGUUCGUGAACGCUGAGGCGCGAAAGCGUGGGGAGCAAACAGG